UGUGCCGCCGAUCUCGUUCGUGUUCUCUCUCGUUCUCGUUGUUCUUGAUGCCGUGAUGCCAUCUUGUUUCGUGCAGCGUUGUUUUUCGUGAAUCUUUUGGUUACGCAAUUCAAAUUUUAACCCAACAGUUUUAUUUGUGACAGCUGCCUGAGUAAAAAUGAGUUAUGGUAGACCUCCUCCUCGUAUUGAGGGCAUGGUUUCCCUUAAGGUGGAUAAUCUUACUUAUCGAACAACGCCGGACGAUCUGCGCCGCGUUUUUGAGAGAUGUGGAGAGGUCGGCGACAUAUACAUUCCUAGAGACAGAUUUACCAGGGAAAGCAGAGGAUUCGCAUUCGUUAGAUUUUAUGACAAGCGUGAUGCUGAAGACGCGCUUGACGCCAUGGAUGGUCGCUUGUUGGAUGGGAGGGAGUUGAGAGUCCAGAUGGCUCGCUACGGCCGACCUUCGUCUCCAUACAGGCGUGGCAGCAGACGCAGCCGAAGAUCCCGCUCAAGGUCCAGACGCCGUUCUCGUUCCCGCAGCCGUACUAGAUCUCGCAGCCGACGCCGCUCUUACUCACGUAGUCGCUCUCACAGCCGUUCGGACAGCAAGAGCUCCCGGGGACACUCCCGCUCACGCAGCAAGUCCCGCAAGUCUCGCAGCAACAGCAAGAGCCGAUCUCGCUCUAAGUGAAAGUAACUUGAUGGUGGAAUCGCAGUGGUUGAGAUUCUUGGACUGAUUACCUUCUAGUGAAAGGCAGGAGGAGGGUGUGAUGAGGUGGCAGGGGGUGUAGCCGUACCGGUGUGCCGAGCUGUAGCCGUAGCCGUUUUGCUGUUAGCCGUUGGCGUAUGCUGUAACCAGUUGUUGCCGUUUGCUGCCCAGCCGCCACCGGGGAAAGCGUGGUUUAUCAGUGCUCAGAGGGUUGUGUGUGAUCAGGGGUGAUUAGGUGAUUAUUCAACUAACUCUAAAUCCCUGUAUUAGUACGCUUCCAUAGUUGAAAUGGAGAUGAGAAUCUGUGAGCUUAGGGAGAUGGCCUUAUUGUUUACUAGUUGUGAGACGGGCAGAUAUUUUGAGUUAAAGAUUUUUAUCUAAAAUCCCUCCUACGUAUCAUUCAUCUAUAGGCCUAAAAUAAUGAUCAUGUCUUAUCAUAAUUCAAAAAAAUACCCUGUAUAUUUUCUGCUGUGGGAAGUAACAUACAUAGGACAUACUGUUUCAGUUUGUAAUAUUUUUCUAUUAUCUGAGUCCUACCAAUGAUGUAUCUGUGACCAGUAAAGGACUGAGUAAUAUUUUAGGCCUACCUAAUAAAACCUCAUCUUUGCAUCGUGAGAGUUAGUUUUCCAGCAAGGAUUUGUCUUAAAAAAUGUUUUGUUGGUGAAGGCCUUUGAUCUUGACUAUCAGCUAUCGUUGGAUUAUAAGCUUAUCAUUCAAAUAAAUUCUUAUUUUCACCAAUAAUCCUUUAGUAACUCAUUGUUCAGAAUAUUUUUUUAUGUAGUUGGAAAUUAUGCUUGAAGGCUGCUUCUAUGGUUGUGUAUUAAGUGUGUACAGGAGGUAUUUCUUCAUUUUGGCAAAUAACAAAGUAAAAUCUUAUCUCUGGUUUUGACUUUUCCUCAACUUUUCUUCUUUUCUGUCCACUCACCCUUGUAAUUGUUCUAAUCAUUCCAAAAUCAUCUUCACAAUACAUGUAGUUUGGUUAAGAAAGGUUUUAAGGGAAUGGUAAAAACGAUGUAUUCGGCAAAGAAAAUAAUGCUUUCAAGUACAUUAAUGUAAGAGUGUUUAUAUGUGGUCUUCGAAUUAAAAUUCACCAUAAGAACACAAUUAGCUAUGAGGCACUGAGCACUGAUAAACUGCAUUUAUAACAAAAUAAAAAUCAAUACUACUGGAUUUUUAGUGGGUCUAAAUUGGGAAGGUGGGAAUUGAUUUGGAAUUGAAGUAUCAAAAUUUAUGAUUGCUGAAGAAUUUGGUUGUAUUGUAAAAUGUUCCAGGUUUCAAAAUGGUAAGUAUUGUAGCAUAGUUUCUACAACCUAUAAAUAAAUUGGUUUUAACUGUGAAGAUCUAAAAAUAAGUCAUAAAAGUGUGUGUAAACCGAAAUAGAAAUCAGUUUUCAAUAAGUUUUCUCUUAAAAAAAAAAAAAAAAAAAACACAUAAAAGGUAAAAGUAGUGUCUAUAUAAUUUUCUUUUAAAAAUAAACAAAUGCAAUGCAAACAAUCCAAAUACUAAGAAGAGUAUAAUUUUUUACUAAUUGAAAAAUAUUCAAACUGGUAGAUUUUUUUGUGAUUUCUAUGUUUUCAUCUCAAUCAAAAUAAACUCCUAAGCAUACACUCAUUCAAUUAUGACUUUAAAGCUUUUGUUAGCAAACAUGUUGAGGUUUUUUGAGAUAAUUUUAGGAUAUUAGCUGCUCUGGAGGAUUCGGAGGAAACCUGGAAGUGGAAGAAGAUAUUGAGACAUGUAGUUGCUGCUGCUAUAUUUUACUAAUAAAAGGUUUACCGUAUGUCACAAA